GCUUCUCAAUGGGUUGCUAAGAAGAACAAGAAGCAGCUGUCUGUGAUUGUCUCAGUCGUGCCCUAGCUUCUCAAUUAAGGUGAUUAAUUGUUCUUGCUCUUCAAUUAUUGUGAAUUUGAGCGUUAGUUUUUGGUGAUUUUUGGGCAUUUUAAAUUAGUAAAUAAGAAUGUGUUUGUAGAAUUUAAUCAACAUAUGGUUUUGUUUUGGAUCACUACAAAAACAGAAGACCUGAUUUGAGAUUUUACGGUAGAGUGUUUUGGUAAAUUGAGGUAAUUUAAUUAUGAUAAAUUUCUCAUAUAAAUGUUAUAAUUAAUACAUGAUUAUAUUGUAUAAAAAUCAAUUACAUUAGUUUACUAGUAAAGUAUUUGUAUAUCAAAUAUAUUAUAAUAUAAAUUGAUUGUUAAAAUAACAUUUCUCGUUGAAGUGCACAUAACCAAAAAAAAAUCAUAUCUACACUAUUUAAAAUAUAAUUUAAUUAUUUAACUUUUUUAUUUAGAGUGUGUUUGAGAAUGUGAUGUAAAUUGUGUUUUUAAAUUUUUUUUUAAAUAAAAUUUUUUAGAUUGUUUUGAUGUGCUGAUGUCAAAAAUAAUUUUUAAAAAAUAAAAAAUAUAUUUUAAUAUAUUUAUAAAUAAAAAAUAUUUUAAAUUAUCAGUGAUAUCACAAUUCUAAAUAAACAGCCUGGUAAAAUUAAACGGAGUUGGAGAAAAGGGUAAAAAUCUAAAAAGAAAUGUAUGACAAAAUGGUUGAAUAAAUAAUAAAUUUUAUCCGAUUGCAAAAUCCAAAAAAUAAUAAAGAAUAUGGAGACAAAAUGCAUCAUUAACUCGUUAAAUUAAUCACCAUUGGAUCCUUAAUAUCUAAAGCACAGAAGGAAAUUUCUAAAUUUGUGUUAUAAGAAAACAACUAAAGCAAAUAUUCACUAUAGCUUCCCUCGUAUUUUCUCAUUCACCUCAACACUAUAGUGUGAUUUUUUUGUCAUUCACGGGAAAAAUCGCUUGCAUAUGAACAAGGAGUAUUUUUAUCUUUGCAUAUAAUUUGUCAGGCAUUAUGAAUUUGUCUGGAAAUAUUUUUGUUUAUUAAAUAUAUUUAUAAAUAAUAAAUAACUAAAAUAUUUCUAGAAUAAAAAAAACUAACAUUAUAGAGCAGGAAUGUUGUUAUUUUUUUUUAGCAUAUUGUAAGAUUAUGCAUAUGACCUUAAGGAUAAAAAAGACAAGUCAUUGAAACAAGGGUUUAAAUAUAUCUCUCUCUCUGUUUUUUUUUUUUUUUAAUUAUUUGUUUGUUUAAGAGUAGGAGCAUAAUUUACCAUUUAAUUUAUAAUUUUUAAAAACAAAAAAUUAUUGAUGUAUACAUCGCACGCGCUAGCACGUGUAGUGUCUCUCAGUGGUGGAAAAUGAGCUUCCUUGGAUCUUCUUGUGCCUUCUUUCUUUAUUGAUGGCUCAUGUUUGUUAAAAGUGGAUGAUUUAUCAUCGGUGAUCCUUGUUUUUUAUUUCUUUAUUUUUAUUUUCUAUCUAAAAAAUCAACUAAUUUUAGAAAGCGUUUGGCAUUGAGAUUGCGGCUGAGAUUCACACUCAGCCACAAAUAUUAAUAUUUGGUUAAGCUAAUAACUGAGUUUUGUUUUGGUGGGACACAUUUAAAUUGCAGGUGUGACCAUGGUUUAACAAAAGCAGAAUUUACAUGCUUUCAGCUACUUCACUGUUCAUGUGAACAAUGAAGAGGUAAAGAGUGAAUUAUAACAGGAGAAAAAAAAUACACCUGCAAUUAUUAUUAGCUUAACUAACGAUAAAGGAAAGAAUUAGAAGUAGUAUGGUUGUAGUAUGAGCAGAAAGCAGCAUGAACUAAGGGAAACAAAGCUUGCCUUUGCGUUGUUGUACUGGGUUUUUGCUUCAGAAGCCAGACUAAUAAAGAAAAGCUCUUUCCUAAUUGCUGCUCUGCUUCUAACUAUGAACGAUAAUUAAGUCGGGGUUUUUGAGAAACAG
rnacentral:lncRNA from 1 species